UACGGAGGAUGCAAGCGUUAUCCGGAUUCAUUGGGUUUAAAGGGUGCGUAGGCGGCUUUUUAAGUCAGUGGUGAAAUCCUGCCGCUUAACGGUAGAAUUGCCAUUGAUACUGAAGAGCUUGAGUACGGUUGAGGUAAGCGGAAUGUGUAGUGUAGCGGUGAAAUGCUUAGAUAUUACACAGAACACCAAUUGCGAAGGCAGCUUACUAAACCGGCAACUGACGCUGAUGCACGAAAGCGUGGGGAGCGAA
rnacentral:rRNA from 1 species